rnacentral:lncRNA from 1 species
AUUUAAUUUAUUUUAUUUUACCGUAUUUUAUUUUUGAAUAGUUCAAUAUUAACUCGACUUUGUAUUGUAUAUUGUACGGAAUGGUCUAUUUGAAGUUCAAUUGUAAUUGAUACACAUGAUACAUGUAAAUAGCACGUCAGCAUUCAUGAUUGAGGUAAAAAAUUAUUAUCACUCGCAAGAAAAAUUAAUAUUUUCACCGGAUUUUUCGCAAACAAUUUACCAUACAUAUGUUGUACAUUUGUAAAUACUAGUAGAUGGACGUACUGUACAUGUACAAGACCCGACAAAAAUAACUAGCGCCAGUGAAAGUUCAAAUGUUCAAAACAAGAAAACUCGCAUUGUUUCAGACAGGGA